AUACUCACUUUGGCAACACAUACACUAAAAUUGGAAUGAUACAGAGAAGAUUAGCAUGGUUCUUGUAAAAGACUGACAAAUUCAUGAAGUGUUCCAUAUUAAA